rnacentral:rRNA from 1 species
AGAGUUUGAUCCUGGCUCAGAACGAACGUUGGCGGCGUGGAUUAGGCAUGCAAGUCGAACGCGAAAGCGUCCUUCGGGGCGCGAGUAGAGUGGCGAACUGGUGAGUAACAGGUGGGUAAUGUGCCUCUCAGCGGGGGAUAACCUCUGGAAACAGGGGCUAAUACCGCGUAUGGCCCGGGGGACGUCGGUUCCCUGGGUUAAAGGUGCGCAUCUUCUUCGGAGGGCGCGUGUCGCUGAGAGAUCAGCCCGCUCCCGAUUAGCUUGUUGGUGGGGUAACGGCCCACCAAGGCUGUGAUCGGUAGGUGGCCUGAGAGGGUGGUCACCCACACUGGGACUGAGAUACGGCCCAGACUCCUACGGGAGGCAGCAGUCUAGGAGCUUCCGCAAUGGGCGAAAGCCUGACGGAGCGACGCCGCGUGCGGGAUGAAGGCCGGAAGGUUGUAAACCGCUGUCAACAGGGAAGAAUGCCCGAAUGGUGAAUUCGGGAGAGACGGUACCUGCAGAGGAAGCCCCGGCUAACUCCGUGCCAGCAGCCGCGGUAAUACGGGGGGGGCAAACGUUGUUCGGAAUUACUGGGCGUAAAGAGUGCGUAGGCGGUCCGGUCAGUCUGGUGUGAAAUCUCCUCGCUUAACGAGGAGCCUGCAUUGGAAACUGCCGGACUUGGGGAUGGGAGAGGCAGGUGGAAUUCCUGGUGUAGCGGUGGAAUGCGUAGAUAUCAGGAAGAACACUCGUGGCGAAAGCGGCCUGCUGGCCCAUUUCUGACGCUGAGGCACGAAAGCCAGGGGAGCAAACAGGCUUAGAUACCCUGGUAGCCCUGGCCGUAAACGGUGAACACUAGGCGUCGGGGGUAUCGACCCCCUCGGUGCCGUAGCUAACGCGAUAAGUGUUCCGCCUGGGGAGUACGACCGCAAGGUUGAAACUCAAAGGAAUUGACGGGUCCCCGCACAAGCGGUGGAGGAUGGGGUUCAAUUCGAGGCAACGCGAAGAACCUUACCAGGGCUUAAACAGCAGGGUAAACCCUCUGAAAGGGGGGCUGCUUCGGCGAUCCUGUAGAGGUGCUGCAUGGCUGUCGUCAGCUCGUGUCGUGAGAUGUUGGGUUAAGUCCCGCAACGAGCGCAACCCUUGUCCUUAGUUACCAGCGGAUAAUGCCGGGGACUCUAAGGAGACUGCCGGUGAAAGCCGGAGGAAGGUGGGGAUGACGUCAAGUCCUCAUGGCCCUUAUGUCCUGGGCUACACCCGUCCUACAAUGGCCGGUACAGCGAGUCGCAAGACCGCGAGGUGGAGCUAAUCUCACAAAACCGGCCUCAGUUCAGAUUGCAGUCUGCAACUCGACUGCAUGAAGGAGGAAUCGCUAGUAAUCGCGGAUCAGCACGCCGCGGUGAAUACGUUCCCGGGGAUUGUACACACCGCCCGUCAAAUCACGAAAGUUGGCUGUACCGGAAGUCGCUGAGCUAACCCGCAAGGGAGGCAGGCGCCGAUGGUAUGGCUGGCGAUUGGGAUUAAGUCGUAACAAGGUAACC